rnacentral:rRNA from 1 species
GAUGAACGCUGGCGGCGUGCCUAAUACAUGCAAGUCGAGCGAAUGGAUUGAGAGCUUGCUCUCAAGAAGUUAGUGGCGGACGGGUGAGUAACACGUGGGUAACCUGCCCAUAAGACUGGGAUAACUCCGGGAAACCGGGGCUAAUACCGGAUAACAUUUUGAACCGCAUGGUUCGAAAUUGAAAGGCGGCUUCGGCUGUCACUUAUGGAUGGACCCGCGUCGCAUUAGCUAGUUGGUGAGGUAACGGCUCACCAAGGCAACGAUGCGUAGCCGACCUGGGAGGGUGAUCGGCCACACUGGGACUGAGACACGGCCCAGACUCCUACGGGAGGCAGCAGUAGGGAAUCUUCCGCAAUGGACGAAAGUCUGACGGAGCAACGCCGCGUGAGUGAUGAAGGCUUUCGGGUCGUAAAACUCUGUUGUUAGGGAAGAACAAGUGCUAGUUGAAUAAGCUGGCACCUUGACGGUACCUAACCAGAAAGCCACGGCUAACUACGUGCCAGCCGCCGCCGUAA